AGCAAAUAAUGGACUAGAGAGCGCCUUGUUUUCCCGGAAGAGCGCCAUCUGGUGUCGGGAUUUCCAGGCGAAUCAAUUUACUGCAGGAUCAUGUGUGAUUGGGCCCAAAUUAAAGCUGCUGACGCGAUUUCUCCCUAACAAACAUCCAGCUUAUGUUUUUGUGAAAACGGUUAAUCAGUUCUUAUUGGUUCAGGAUGGGACACCAGGAUCCUUUUGUCUACACCAGUAAACAAGACCAUAGCAACCAGAUAGCUGCUGAAAUUC